UAGACUGCUUUGGGUAGUGUGGCCAUUUUUAAGAUAUUAAUUUUUCCAACCCAGGAGCAUGGCAUAUCUUUCCAUUUCUUUACAUCUUCUUUAAUUUCCUUGUAAUGUUUUGAUUCACAAAUUCAAAACUUGCAGGUGAAUGAAGAUUGAGAUCUGUCCAUAAGCUUUUUCUCCUCAUUAUCACGGACUAAUUUCAAAUUAGCUGGAACUGUUCUGAAUUCUAAUCUGUUUCAUGAUAUUUAACACUAUUAACUUAUUGGGAAACAUAACAACUGAUAGGCAGGCCCACAACCUUGACACCAAGUCACACUGAUGGCUUUUUUCUAUCUGUAUUAGUAAGUUUUAUAUCUGAAUGUUUUGCUUGCUAAAAGAAGGGCUUUUUUUUUUUUUAUUGACCAACUUUUUUCUUUUUCCCACUGUACAGCAGAAGGCCAUUUUUUAUUAUUCCUCUGGACACCCACUUGAUUUUGGCACCUACAUAGCAAAGGCUCUUCUUUCUGUUUUUGAGCUUUUAGUUCUUUUUAUAUUUCGUCUACCCUAAAAAAUAAAGUUUUAACUAGCAUUUCUUUGACCUCCUUACUGGGUUAUAAUUUAAGUGUCUGGUACUUCUUUUUUUCACCCUCCCCUUUCUUUGAGCUCUGUAAUCCAUUUGACAGAACAAGAAUCACCAGCUAAUCAAAAUAGAGAUAAUUUACAAGGAAUGUUUGAACCAGUCUUUCUUUGAACUUUCCUAUAAUUAUUCUCCAUCAUUUUUCAGGUUAUUUUUUCCCAUUUAUAUCCUAAAUCUAUUUUCUAAUGGCAGGAUUUUUUUCUCAUGUCUUCUUAUACUUAUGUUAUUCUAAAAAAUAUAUAAUUCUGAUUUUAAAUUUUAAUUUGUAAGGAUUUCACUUUUCAUAGUCUCUUUACUAUAUAUGAAGUCUUUUGAUAUUCAGGUACAAUACCUGAUAAUCAUUUAUCCACUUCAAUAAUCUUUGUAUUACUUUGGUUCUGUGUACAGAGUAUUAAAAAUAAUAUAGGUGUUCCUAUUGUGGCUCAGUGGAAACAAAUCUGACUAGAAUCCAUGAGGAUGCAGGUUUAAUCCCUGGCCUUGCUCAUGAGUUGUGGUGUAGGCUGCAUGCAGCUUGGAUCCUGCUGCAUUUCUGUGGCUGCGGUGUAGGCCAGCAGCUACAGCUCUGAUUGGACCCCUAGCCUGGGAACCUCCAUAUGCACAAGGUGGGCUCCUAAAAAGCAAAAUAAAUAAAUAAAUAAAAGGUAAAUUGUUGAUUAAGAAUGGAAAAUGACAAAUCCUCACUGUGUGGGGAUAUGUAUAUAUAUACAUACAUAUAUAUAUAAAACACAUAUAGUUUUGUGUAUAUGUAUAUAUAAUAUGUAAUAUAUAGUAUAUAUAGCAAGUUAAGAUGGAAUGUGAAAUAUAUGAUAGAAUGUGUAAGAAUAUAUGAUAGAUGUAAUGUGUAAUACAUAUAAGAAGUAGUGUGUAAUAUAUGAUAUAUGUGUAAGAAUAAUAUACAUAUAUCAUAUUUGAUUCACCUAAUGGAAAAGAAAAACAAUGACUCUUAUUUAAAUUAGCC
rnacentral:lncRNA from 1 species